GUUACAGGGGAGAGUGUCUCGUCUGGAGAUAAUUCUGGGAGUGAACAACCACAAUCGGCGAGGAAGAUACGGGAGCUGUGUUCAAAGAUAGUGCAGCCAGGUGUAGGCAUCACCUCUCCUUGUUUAUGACACUUUUUGGGAUGGCUGGGUGAUGGCUGUGAGAUUAAUAACUUAUUGGCGUGGAGGUGUAAGAAUAAGGAUUUUCAAGCUUCAGCGGAAGACAGGGGACACAGGUUACGAAGUUUCAAGGACCAACAACACAUCUCGGUAUGACAAGCUAAGACUCGACUAUACAAACUGAUGAAACACCUCUGACCUGUGGGACAGGCUCAUUUGUGAUGCCAUCAACAGCAACUGAUGAAACACCUCUGACCUGUGGGAGGUGAGACUUAUACAGGUAUUCUGUUACUUAACAUCAUGUUGUCUAAUGCUUGUGUUUAUGUACUGUACAGUACUGUAGUAUUUAAAACAUAAAUUACGCUGUGCCCGUAAAUUAUAAAUCCUCUUUAUAUGCCUUUUCUCAAGAAUAUCGGCUAACUUUAUAAUUUAAGCAUUUUAUCGUUCACUUUCCAGAAAAGAAAACAUCCAGUAACAGUAUUCCCAAUCAAAAUUGCUGACCCCUUAUCUUGUGUUUGAGUACAUGGCAUAGAUUUUGUUUAAAUUUCAUACAAAGAUGCUCUUUUAUAUGCUGAUUAAGAAUCUAGAUUAAAAAUACACAAUAGUGUAUUCCUCUGAAAGUGUGCAUUUAUGUAAAUGUUUA